GACGAACGCUGGCGGCGUGCUUAACACAUGCCAGUCGAACGGAAAGGCCCUGCUUUUGUGGGGUGCUCGAGUGGCGAACGGGUGAGUAACACGUGAGUAACCUGCCCUUGACUUUGGGAUAACUUCAGGAAACUGGGGCUAAUACCGGAUAGGAGCUCCUGCUGCAUGGUGGGGGUUGGAAAGUUUCGGCGGUUGGGGAUGGACUCGCGGCUUAUCAGCUUGUUGGUGGGGUAGUGGCUUACCAAGGCUUUGACGGGUAGCCGGCCUGAGAGGGUGACCGGCCACAUUGGGACUGAGAUACGGCCCAGACUCCUACGGGAGGCAGCAGUGGGGAAUAUUGCACAAUGGGCGGAAGCCUGAUGCAGCAACGCCGCGUGCGGGAUGACGGCCUUCGGGUUGUAAACCGCUUUCGCCUGUGACGAAGCGUGAGUGACGGUAAUGGGUAAAGGAGCACCGGCUAACUACGU
rnacentral:rRNA from 1 species